UACGUAGGUGGCAAGCGUUGUCCGGAUUUACUGGGCGGAAAGAGCGCGCAGGCGGUCGUGCAAGUCGCGUGUGAAAGCCCCCGGCUCAACUGGGGAGGGUCACGCGAUACUGCUCGACUCGAAGGCAGGAGAGGGAAGUGGAAUUCCCGGUGUAGUGGUGAAAUGCGUAGAUAUCGGGAGGAACACCAGUGGCGAAGGCGACUUCCUGGACUGUUCUUGACGCUGAGGCGCGAAAGCUAGGGUAGCAAACGGG
rnacentral:rRNA from 1 species